AAACGGUGAUGAAACAUAGCCAAAUCUGAUCAUCAGAUGUCUCUGGUGUAUGAUAUGAGCUAUAGGUUUCUGAGA